UGUUCUAUUAAUGCUCUUUGGUGCUUGGACGAGUUGAGCUUUUGCAAAGGAGGUUGUUGAUGAAAUCAUAUUGCAGAAUAAGAAAAAAGACCAACUGGAAGCCCAAGCAAGGGUAGCUAAGCAAAAAAUCUAGGGAUUGAAAUUAAAAGCAGAAGAUGAGUACAUAUUAAAGGAGCUGACUAUUGUUAGACAGAGUUUUCUUGUUGGAGAGCUGUUAUUGUUGGCUGUGCUGCUAUUGCUGGAGUUGUAAGGAGCUAGCUUGACUAUGGGAGAGGAGAGGCAACAGUCAAUAUACCCAAGCAGACAUAGAUAUGAUGCGAAAUGAAUGGGCAAAGUAUGUCGUGAAGGCGUAUGUGUAGGAGCUAAAGGAAAGCAUAAGAGGAAGUAGGUUGUUGCUGAAGGAAAGCAUCAUUUUUGUGCUUCUCUGCUGGUACAAUAUUCAUGCACUGUGUGGCAUGUUUUGUAACAAAUAGUUUGUAUUUGUAUCAGCUUUUGAUGUCCCAAGUAGAUGGGCAUGCAGUUGAAUGCUUUACUUCUUUCAAAGUUGGCUUGGAUGAUUGGGAAAUCCUCCCUUUUAACAUUUGAAUGCUUUUCUUCAAAUAGUAUGAGUUGGAUUACUCAUUUCAUA